rnacentral:rRNA from 1 species
GGAGCUUGCUCCUGGAUUCAGCGGCGGACGGGUGAGUAAUGCCUAGGAAUCUGCCUGGUAGUGGGGGAUAACGUCCGGAAACGGGCGCUAAUACCGCAUACGUCCUGAGGGAGAAAGUGGGGGAUCUUCGGACCUCACGCUAUCAGAUGAGCCUAGGUCGGAUUAGCUAGUUGGUGGGGUAAAGGCCUACCAAGGCGACGAUCCGUAACUGGUCUGAGAGGAUGAUCAGUCACACUGGAACUGAGACACGGUCCAGACUCCUACGGGAGGCAGCAGUGGGGAAUAUUGCACAAUGGGCGCAAGCCUGAUGCAGCCAUGCCGCGUGUAUGAAGAAGGCCUUCGGGUUGUAAAGUACUUUCAGUCGUGAGGAAGGUGUUAAGGUUAAUAUUCUUAGCAAUUGACGUUAGCGACAGAAGAAGCACCGGCUAACUCCGUGCCAGCAGCCGCGGUAAUACGGAGGGUGCGAGCGUUAAUCGGAAUUACUGGGCGUAAAGGGCACGCAGGCGGUUAAUUAAGUUGGAUGUGAAAUCCCCGGGCUUAACCUGGGAAUGGCAUUCAAGACUGGUUAGCUAGAGUCUUGUAGAGGGGGGUAGAAUUCCAUGUGUAGCGGUGAAAUGCGUAGAGAUGUGGAGGAAUACCGGUGGCGAAGGCGGCCCCCUGGACAGAGACUGACGCUCAUGUGCGAAAGCGUGGGGAGCAAACAGGAUUAGAUACCCUGGUAGUCCACGCUGUAAACGAUGUCGAUUUGGAGGUUGUGGUCAUGAACUGUGGCCUCCGGAGCUAACGCGUUAAAUCGACCGCCUGGGGAGUACGGCCGCAAGGUUAAAACUCAAAUGAAUUGACGGGGGCCCGCACAAGCGGUGGAGCAUGUGGUUUAAUUCGAUGCAACGCGAAGAACCUUACCUACUCUUGACAUCCAGCGAAGCCUUUAGAGAUAGGGGCGUGCCUUAGGGAGCGCUGAGACAGGUGCUGCAUGGCUGUCGUCAGCUCGUGUUGUGAAAUGUUGGGUUAAGUCCCGCAACGAGCGCAACCCUUAUCCUUUGUUGCCAUCGAUUAGGUCGGGAACUCAAAGGAGACUGCCGGUGAUAAACCGGAGGAAGGUGGGGAUGACGUCAAGUCAUCAUGGCCCUUACGGCCAGGGCUACACACGUGCUACAAUGGUCGGUACAAAGGGUUGCCAAGCCGCGAGGUGGAGCUAAUCCCAUAAAACCGAUCGUAGUCCGGAUCGCAGUCUGCAACUCGACUGCGUGAAGUCGGAAUCGCUAGUAAUCGUGAAUCAGAAUGUCACGGUGAAUACGUUCCCGGGCCUUGUACACA